rnacentral:rRNA from 1 species
GAUGAACGCUGGCGGCGUGCCUAAUACAUGCAAGUCGAGCGAACAGACGAGGAGCUUGCUCCUCUGACGUUAGCGGCGGACGGGUGAGUAACACGUGGAUAACCUACCUAUAAGACUGGGAUAACUUCGGGAAACCGGAGCUAAUACCGGAUAAUAUAUUGAACCGCAUGGUUCAAUAGUGAAAGACGGUUUUGCUGUCACUUAUAGAUGGAUCCGCGCCGCAUUAGCUAGUUGGUAAGGUAACGGCUUACCAAGGCGACGAUGCGUAGCCGACCUGAGAGGGUGAUCGGCCACACUGGAACUGAGACACGGUCCAGACUCCUACGGGAGGCAGCAGUAGGGAAUAUUCCGCAAUGGGCGAAAGCCUGACGGAGCAACGCCGCGUGAGUGAUGAAGGUCUUCGGAUCGUAAAACUCUGUUAUUAGGGAAGAACAAAUGUGUAAGUAACUAUGCACGUCUUGACGGUACCUAAUGAGAAAGCCACGGCUAACUACGUG